GAUCAUGGCUCAGGAUGAACGCUGGCGGCGUGCCUAACACAUGCAAGUCGAACGGACUUUUCGAUGAAGCCUAGCGAUUGAAAGUUAGUGGCGGACGGGUGAGUAACGCGUGGGUAACCUGCCUUGUACUGGGGGACGAACAGUUGGAACGACUGCUAAUACCGCAUAAGCGCACAGCUUCGCAUGAAGCAGUGUGAAAACUCCGGUGGUACAAGAUGGACCCGCGUCUGAUUAGCG
rnacentral:rRNA from 1 species